GAAAUUUUUCUACAUUUGUUGGUGUAUUUCGUGGUGGAGGACUAUACCAAUUAUUGGAUCCACAGGCUUCUCCAUUGUAAAUGGGGCUAUGAGAAAAUUCACCGUGUUCAUCAUGAAUAUGCUGCUCCCAUUGGUUUUGCUGCUCCAUAUGCACACUGGGCUGAAAUUUUGAUCCUGGGAAUUCCAUCUUUCCUGGGACCAGCAAUGGUUCCCGGGCACAUGAUCACAUUUUGGUUGUGGAUUGCUUUGCGGCAGAUUGAGGCAAUUGAGACACACAGCGGGUAUGACUUCCCUUGGAGUCCUGCAAAAUAUAUUCCAUUUUAUGGCGGCGCAGAUUACCAUGAUUACCAUCAUUAUGUUGGAGAACAGAGCCAAAGCAACUUUGCUUCGGUUUUCACCUAUUGUGACUUUAUUUAUGGAACUGACAAGGGCUAUCGGUAUCAAAAGAAGCUACUUGGGAAGUUGAAAGAGGGAUUGAAAAGUGGCGGUGAACAGAACGGACGCUCAUACUUUCCUAUACAAGAUCUUAAAUCUGACUAGCAGUGGGAAUGCAGAACUUUUUUCCAGAUCAAUGAUCUUAGGGUACAUCUGCUGGAAAUAUCCAAAUUCAAGUUGACAUCAAUGUACUAGUCGUGGUUAAUUUAGAAGCCUUUAGUAUUGCAGAUGGAGUUUAACUGUGAUUUCUGUAGCUUAACGGGGUUUAGUUAAGUUUCAGAAUUUGGGGUUUUGUUAAUGAAGUUCAGUGGAUUGGGA
rnacentral:misc_RNA from 1 species